rnacentral:rRNA from 1 species
UACGUAGGGGGCUAGCGUUGUCCGGAAUCAUUGGGCGUAAAGCGCGUGUAGGCGGUCCGGUAAGUCCGCUGUGAAAGUCGGGGGCUCAACCCUCGGAUGCCGGUGGAUACUGUCGGGCUUGAGUACGGAAGAGGCGAGUGGAAUUCCUGGUGUAGAGGUGAAAUUCGUAGAUAUCAGGAGGAACACCAGUGGCGAAGGCGGCAUCCUGGACCGGUAUUGACGCUGAGGCGCGAAAGCCAGGGGAGCAAACGGG